GCCCCAGCCGCCAUUUUUAUUGCUGGCAGGCGGCCGCGCUUACCUGCGCGCUCGCUGGGGUACUGCGGGCCGGCGCGGCGGCUGUCUGUGAAAAUGGUGCGGCUGAAGGAGCCCAGUCGGCGCCGCAGAGGCUCGGGCAGCGACAUGCCGCGGGCCGCUGUCGGCCUGGAGACGGGGCGGGGGCGCGCAGGCGCGGUGGAAGACGUGGAGCUCCGCCAGAGGUGCCGGGGCGAAGCGCAGUGCGGGGCUGAUUCCUUCUGGGAAGGAGGGAUGCGUGCAGGAAAUUGCGCUCCGCACCGCCAGAAUGAAGGAGCAGCUCGUGCCCUGCACUACAAGGAGUGAUAACAGCAGUGGUUUCACUGCGCCUAAUGUGACACGUCAGUUCCCAUCUCCCAAAUCCCCCCCAUUUCCUCUCUCCUUUCCCAAAAUCGCAUUUUGCUACUUUCCCGGGUGAUCAUUCUCCAGUAUGACUUUCCAAACUCAAUUACCUCUGAAUAAUUUAAAGCCUAGUUUAAAUUUAAUUUCUUUCUAUCCCACUGGGAAAACUGCAGAAAGAGACGGCCGAUAAAGCUCGAGUUCUGAGAAAUCCAUUUGGCUUAUGGGCAGGCGGACGGGUGCUGUGUGACUGCAGACAUUUUUCAUACAGUUCUGCAAGCAGAUGUGGCAGCAGGAAUCGGCACCAAGCCUUCCCCCCCCAAAUACAAACCAACCAACCAACCGCAAAACCCAAGCAAACCAACCUGAAGACCUUCAGAAGAGAUGAGGAGGAAGGGAUUUUCAAAUGGCAAGAGAUUGGAAGGGAGAAGGACAGGUUGGAGAGCACCUACUCAAGUUUCAAGAGGAUAUUAAAACUUCAUGGAUUAGAACACCUGGACAGGUCAGAGUUUCCUUGUGACUAGUGGAAGGAAGAAAGAGGUUUAACUGUUAAGUGACUGUAACAGUUACGAUGUCCAUCUGUAAAGACAACUUGGUUCCUCUGUAUUAAAGACACCUGGACUGGAUUUAUGGUGCUUCAAAUGGAUGCAUGUUUGGCCCUAAAACUCAUCCCCUGCCAUACUUCUGGGAAGGACUGCAACUUUUCUGUAUCUCUAAAGUUUUGGAGCAAUCGUGGCAGCUAGGUGAAAAGUGAGCUGGGUGGGAGGAACCAGGCUGCAGCACAAAUACAAUCAGGGGAGAGUGCUUCAGUCCUGCAGCACUGCCAGUGCUCACUGGUGCAGGAAUUUGCUGGAUCCAGGUGUCCCAGUUCCACUGAAGUUCAGUGGAUGUCCUGGCUGCAGGGAGUCUGUCACAUACACCAUGCUGUUGUAAACACGUGGCACAACUUCCCAAGACGUCCCUUGAGGAGCACAGGCAGCACUCCUGGGCAGUACGUGCAGCGGGAGGCACACCUUGAAGCCAUCCUCCUGAAGCUAGCAUUGAUGCUAAAUGCCUCUGUGCCAAUCACACUACUGCAGCAAACACUAAAUGAAUUUGAUGGUGAACACUUACAUUCUUACCUUUCUCGAUAACUCUAUGUUAAUAUUACAUUAAUUAUUCCUGAAUUACAAUGCUGUUGAAUGUUGAUAAAGCUGAAUUCCUUCUUGAAAUGCUGAUCCUGACAGUCCUGUGGCAGGCACUAAAAUGUGCUUUCCAAGUCUUAGGGGAAAAGGGGAAUAUAUUACUACUUCUGAUGAGAGGACUUCAGAAGAAACAUAUUCUAGUCACAUCUUGUGGAGCACUCGCCUGAAUCCCUCUUGCUUUCAGUAGCAGAUGCCUUUGCAUAAGACAUAAAAGGAAUAUACUCAUCACUUUUUUAGUUAAAAUUUUAUAGUGAUUGCUGAUGUAGAAUCAGUCCAGCGUGUGUGAACUGUUCCCCACAACAAGGAAGCUGUGUGCAUACGGAGCUGAUCCUUGCCUCAUGAGAGCUGAUACACGGGAGCAAAGCUGGCAGGACGAACACGGAGAGAUCACUUCUUACUUGCAUCACCUUCUCUGCAGUUUUGGAUCUGAGCUCUCUGACAACGCUGUCAGGACUCAUUUCUGCACACCUACUGCUCACCUGAGACAUCCCUUGUGUAAUACUGCAAUUUUCAUGCUGAACCACAUGACAGAGUGAGACUGCCAGAUGUGGGAAAUUACGGUACUUAAUUUCCAAAUGACCGUAGCAUGGAAGAAAAGGGGUUUGGGAUAAAAUUACCAGAACACCUACAUAGCUUAGGAAGUCCCAGCCAUAAGUAAUUGGAACAAUCUCUGCGGUGACCACAAGUACUGAGAUGGAAGUACCUGCACAGGCUGGUGCUCUGAUGAACACCCAUCAAAGGCUUCAGUAGCUGUGUUAAUGGAGUGUCCCAUCAGCUACAUUCAACUAAGCCAGUCCAAAGCCCCCAGUCCAGGCUCCUCAUAGGUGCUGUGGGGGAAAUAAGCAGCUGUGACAUCUCUCAGUACCUCCAUACCUCCCCAGAGUCUGGAUAACUGGUGUGGCAGGGGAAGUGAUCAGAGGGAGAGGAGAAAUGCUCAUAAAGCGGGCUUCUGCGGUGGGUGUGUGCAGGUUGUUUUUUUUCUUUAACCUUCCCUUCUCUUGCACAAGCACCCAGUGUGGCUUUCACUGGAGGGAAAGUGUUCCAUCUCUCAGGGGGUGUUUGAGGUUUCUGUUUAUUUGUUUAUUAAAAAAAGGAAAGCAUCUGGCAUAUGUGUACAAACAUUAAUGAAUCAUUUAAAAUAUUCUCAGUGCUGCGCUAGUGUGACUUCCAGCUAUGAGAAGAAAACGAGAUGGAAGGGAGCAGACAGACCCCAAAGGACUGCUUUCCAAGCAUAGGAUGGGGCAGCUGCUGAAUCACGCACAGAAAUGUUCCCAGGAGAGAGAGAAGAGAAUUACUUCCUCGGGCAGUAGUAGCAGCAAAGGGCAGUGUAUGGGAACUGUUGAGUCACAGCCUGAACCUCUGAUUGAUCACCUGAAGAAAGAACUGAGUCAGCCGUGGGAGCACAGGUGAAGGCAAUUCACCUGUGUGACCUGAAGGGGUGGAGCCUGGCUGCACCUCUCCUGGACCCCAUAGAAGGGCCGACUGCCACUGGGGAAGGAUCUCUUUCUGGAGAUUGCUCCUUUUGGAGUUUUCUAUUGUGAGCCUUGAUCCUUGGAUAUGGCCUGAUGUGUCACAGCACAGCUUGGAGAUGAGAUGUGACACUGUCUUGGAGCUUGAGGUCUGUCUGUCCGGGCCCAGGAAGAUGGAUGGCUUUGCGGUGUUGUUUGAAAGCUGCACUGACCUCAAGAAGGAGCCCUGAUUGCGGUGCCAGCACAACAGCAGACAGCAGGGGAGGAAAUCGAGGCGAGCACCCCUGGUGCACAUGUGGAUGGCUGAUGCUGCCAUUUCCUAUUUUUAUCCUGAUUCACCGCUCCUGGGAACGGAGAGUGAAAGCUGGGUUACAAGGUGCUUGCUAACUGAGGCUUCGUGGUCAGCAUAUAUCACUAGUGGAUGAGUCUGGCGUUUGUCAAGCCCCAGAACAUGAUGAACAACCCAUUACCACCAGAGUAAUGGAGAGGUCUGAACGUCCACAAAUGACAACCGGGAGCAAUUGAAGUAUGAUGGGGAAGGAGGAUGGGCUGCAGCUCCAGGUGAAAAGAAGAAUUGGAUCAACAGCUGAUACUGAGAGAGGCAGGAGGUUUUCACUCCCUUCAAGACUCCAUAUUGUAUGUUUUUCCAGACUAUCCUAUAAAUAAAAAGUCAUUAAGA